AAGCUCGUAGCUCAGUGGAAUAGAGCUUAUGGUUACGGACCAUAGUGUCGUGGGUUCAAAUCCCUCCGAGUUUA